GGGCCCGUAGCUCAAUUUGGACAGAGUGUUCGGCUUCGGACCGAAAUGUUGCGGGUUCAAAUCCCGUCGGGCCCG
rnacentral:tRNA from 1 species